rnacentral:rRNA from 1 species
GAUGAACGCUGGCGGCGUGCCUAAUACAUGCAAGUCGAGCGAACGGACGAGAAGCUUGCUUCUCUGAUGUUAGCGGCGGACGGGUGAGUAACACGUGGAUAACCUACCUAUAAGACUGGGAUAACUUCGGGAAACCGGAGCUAAUUCCGGAUAAUAUUUUGAACCGCAUGGUUCAAAAGUGAAAGACGGUCUUGCUGUCACUUAUAGAUGGAUCCGCGCUGCAUUAGCUAGUUGGUAAGGUAACGGCUUACCAAGGCAACGAUGCAUAGCCGACCUGAGAGGGUGAUCGGCCACACUGGAACUGAGACACGGUCCAGACGCCUACGGGAGGCAGCAGUAGGGAAUCUUCCGCAAUGGGCGAAAGCCUGACGGAGCAACGCCGCGUGAGUGAUGAAGGUCUUCGGAUCGUAAAACUCUGUUAUUAGGGAAGAACAUAUGUGUAAGUAACUGUGCACAUCUUGACGGUACCUAAUCAGAAAGCCACGGCUAACUACGUG